CCGUGUCGCCCAGCCUGGAGUGCAGUGGCGCGAUCUUGGCUCACUGCAACCUCCGCACCCCAGGUUCAAGGGAUUCUACUGCCUCAGCCUCCUGAGUAGCUGGGAUUACAGGCGCUCGCCACCACGCCCGGAUAAUUUUUGUAUUUUUACUAGAGGCGGUGUUUCAUCAUAUUGACCAGGCUGGUCUCGAACUCCUAACCUCAAUAAUCUGCCCGCCUCGGCCUCCCAAACUGCCAGGAUUACAGCAUGAGCCGCUGCGCCCAGCCGUUACAGGGCUUUCACUCCUGGGUCGAAAAAGGUCACCAACUCCUACUAAAUCUUAAACAUUAACAGCAACUGAAGCCUCAUCUUCAGACCUAAGAGAAGAUGAAAAUCAGAAGAAGCUGCAUUCACAAGACCUGUGUCCAGAAAAUUAAACUAUUCAACCCCCUAGUCCCAGGGACUAUUGCAGAAGAAGAACUAGCUCUGUCACCUGGGUUGGAAUGCAGUGGCAUGAUCCUGGCUCACUGCAACCUCCAUCUCCCAGACACAAGCGAUCCUGCCACCUCAGCCUCCUGAGUAGCUGGGACUGCAGAAUAAGGUUCACACCCACCUCCCUGCAAUCUGAUUUGGACGGCCCAUGAGACCAGAAGAUUACAAAAACGCAAAAGAUGUUGACUUAUGAGUCCUAGAUACCCUGUAUCCGCUGGUGAAAGGACGCGAUGGAGUUGCCGUGUCCCCUCCGAGUUUGGCAGGCCCGGGAUUCCGCAAAGGAGGCGGCGGGACCAGAUGCCUCCAGCCCGGAGCUCAGUACAUUCGGUGUCCUGGAUGCUCCCUUCCUGUGCUUACCACUGCGAGCUCUCCUGGGCCGACCUAGAUUUCCACUGCCACAUACUUUCCGCUCCCUGCGUGCUUCCUUGCUGAAACUGCCGGCGAAAAGAUCUCUUUCCCAAGCCUCAGAGUACCUGGAGGCGGGGCGCAGAGUCGCCUGCUCUGGAUCCGGCGCAGGCAAUUCAGGAGGAGCCGCAGGAGCCCUCGGGAGAGCAGGAGGCUGCAUAGGGUCUCAACAUACGCCCGCCCGCCCCCGCAGCCUCCCUCGCAACUCGCCUCUCGCUUAGUGGACAGACGACUGGAGCCGGAGACUUCCAUCCGAGAAGACCUUUGAGAGUGUCAGCCUACUGCUGUCCCCUGGUGCCACCAACCAAAGUUCCAAGACUGCUGGCUGCAGAUGGCAUGCGCUUGGGGACAGACGCCCUGAGACUGUGUCCACGGCCCGCCUUUGGAAUCCUGGGCCCUGAAACUUCCUCUGAGACCUUCCAUUGGAUGAUCCUCUUGUAAAUAAAUAAAUAAAUAAAUAAAGUUACAAU
rnacentral:lncRNA from 1 species